AUACGUAGGUGGCAAGCGUUAUCCGGAUUUACUGGGCGUAAAGGGCGUGUAGGCGGUCUUGCAAGUCAGAAGUGAAAUUCCUGAGCUCAACUCGGGCGCUGCUUCUGAAACUGCAGGACUUGAGUGCUGGAGGGGCUGAUAGAAUUCCUGGUGUAGCGGUAAAAUGCGUAGAUAUCAGGAGGAAUACCGGUGGCGAAGGCGGUCAUCUGGCUCAUUAUUGACGCUGAAGCACGAAAGCGUAGGUAGCGAACAGGAUUAGAUACCCUGGUAGUCUACGCUGUAAACGAUGUAUGCUUGGUGUUAUGCGUUUAUGCGCGUAGUGCCGUAGGAAAUCUGGUAAGCAUACCACCUGGGGAGUACGAAUGCAAGUUUGAAACUCAAAGGAAUUGACGGGG
rnacentral:rRNA from 1 species